GCCCUAGUAACGGCGAGUGAAGCGGCAACAGCUCAAAUUUGAAAUCUGGCGCAAGCCCGAGUUGUAAUUUGUAGAGGAUGCUUCUAGGUAGCGACCGGUCUAAGUUCCUUGGAACAGGACGUCAUAGAGGGUGAGAAUCCCGUAUGUGACCGGCCCGCACCUUCUACGUAGCUCCUUCGACGAGUCGAGUUGUUUGGGAAUGCAGCUCUAAAUGGGAGGUAAAUUUCUUCUAAAGCUAAAUACCGGCCAGAGACCGAUAGCGCACAAGUAGAGUGAUCGAAAGAUGAAAAGCACUUUGGAAAGAGAGUUAAAAAGCACGUGAAAUUGUUGAAAGGGAAGCGCUCACAACCAGACUUCUGGGCGGUGUUCCGCCGGUCUUCUGACCGGUCUACUCACCGUCCCGAGGCCAACAUCAUCUGGGACCGCCGGAUAAGACCUCAGGAAUGUAGCUCCCCUCGGGGAGUGUUAUAGCCUGUGGUGAUGCGGCGCGUCUCGGGUGAGGUCCGCGCUUCGGCAAGGAUGUUGGCGUAAUGGUUGUCAGCGGCCCGUCUUGAAACACGGACCAAGGAGUCUAACAUCUAUGCGAGUGUUCGGGUGUCAAACCCCUACGCGUAAUGAAAGUGAACGGAGGUGGGAAGGGCAACCUGCACCAUCGACCGAUCCUGAUGUCCUCGGAUGGAUUUGAGUAAGAGCAUAGCUGUUGGGACCCGAAAGAUGGUGAACUAUGCCUGAAUAGGGUGAAGCCAGAGGAAACUCUGGUGGAGGCUCGCAGCGGUUCUGACGUGCAAAUCGAUCGUCAAAUUUGGGUAUAGGGGCGAAAGACUAAUCGAACCAU
rnacentral:rRNA from 1 species